AGUGAACGCUGGCGGUAGGCCUAACACAUGCAAGUCGAACGGCAGCACAGUAAGAGCUUGCUCUUACGGGUGGCGAGUGGCGGACGGGUGAGGAAUACAUCGGAAUCUACUUUUUCGUGGGGGAUAACGUAGGGAAACUUACGCUAAUACCGCAUACGACCUACGGGUGAAAGCAGGGGAUCUUCGGACCUUGCGCGAUUGAAUGAGCCGAUGUCGGAUUAGCUAGUUGGCGGGGUAAAGGCCCACCAAGGCGACGAUCCGUAGCUGGUCUGAGAGGAUGAUCAGCCACACUGGAACUGAGACACGGUCCAGACUCCUACGGGAGGCAGCAGUGGGGAAUAUUGGACAAUGGGCGCAAGCCUGAUCCAGCCAUACCGCGUGGGUGAAGAAGGCCUUCGGGUUGUAAAGCCCCUUUGUUGGGAAAGAAAAGCAGCAGGUUAAUACCCCGCUGUUCUGACGGGACCCAAAGAAGAAACACCGGCGAACUUCGU
rnacentral:rRNA from 1 species